rnacentral:lncRNA from 1 species
AAAAAAAAAUAUAAGUCACAAAUAAAAUGUAUUUUUUUUAAAAAAACUCAAUGUUAUUCAAAAUAAUUCUUGCUUUAUUACACGAAGAUAGGACAAUAAUAGGCCUUGUAAAAAAAAAGACAACAAUAGGGGCAUAGAAAUUUAAGUCUAGCAUUGAGAUAUAAUAAAGAUGAGAUAGUCUAAACUUAUGAUCCCAUCUUCCAAGUAAGAGCAAAUCUUUUUCCUACAGGGAUAUUCAAGCCCUUGAUUCCAACCAUUACUGUCUUCUUUUCUUCAUC